UACCAGCACCCCGAGUGGUCGGGACGAUUAUUGGGCCUAAAGCAUCCGUAGCCGGUUUUACAAGUCCUCCGUUAAAUCCAGCUGCUUAACAGAUGGGCUGCGGAGGAUACUAUAAGACUAGGAGGCAGGAGAGGCAAGCGGUACUCAGUGGGUAGGGGUAAAAUCCGUUGAUCCAUUGAAGGCCACCAGUAGCGAAGGCGGCUUGCCAGAAUGCGCUCGACGGUGAGGGAUGAAAGCUGGGGGAGCAAACCGG
rnacentral:rRNA from 1 species